rnacentral:lncRNA from 10 species
CCCACCCCCACUCCGGCGCGCCAUCUUUAGUGCUGGCAGCGAGGCUUCUUGGCCCCAUACGUCCAACCUUGCUGCUGGAGAGAUUGGGGUUUAUUUUUAACUGACUUACAUGAACGUGACCCCAUUUCCGAGGCCUGGCGCCUUUCUCCUCCUGUAAGUCUUCGCUCGAAUGUCACCUUGCGAGGGAAGUUGUUCCUGAUCACCCUGACUAUGUCCCCUACCGGAGAGGACACUGCAUUGGCUCCUCCGGAGGUCACAGCAACGUGGCGCCAUCUUGGAAGCAGAGAGCAGCCCUCACCGGACACCAACACCAGGCGCGGUGAUCUUGGCCUCCAAAGCUGUAAGAAAUAAAUUUCUGCUCCUUAUAAAUAACUCAGUCUCAGGUGUUUUGUUCUAGCAGCGCAAACAGACUAAGGCAGAUGUGCAUCAUCACAGUCCAAUAUAGAGCUCCGUUCAGAACUCAGUUAACUAUCAUAUUCUUGCUGGCUGGUUUUGGA